rnacentral:rRNA from 1 species
GGAUGAGUGGCGAACGGGUGAGUAACACGUGAGUAACCUGCCCCUGACUUCGGGAUAAGCCCGGGAAACUGGGUCUAAUACCGGAUACGACUGCCGGACGCAUGUCUGGUGGUGGAAAGUUUUUUCGGUUGGGGAUGGGCUCGCGGCCUAUCAGUUUGUUGGUGAGGUAAUGGCUCACCAAGACGACGACGGGUAGCCGGCCUGAGAGGGCGACCGGCCACACUGGGACUGAGACACGGCCCAGACUCCUACGGGAGGCAGCAGUGGGGAAAUAUUGCACAAUGGGGGAAACCCUGAUGCAGCGACCGCAGCGUGCGGGAUGACGGCCUUCGGGUUGUAAACCGCUUUCAGCAGGGAAGAAGCGCAAGUGACGGUACCUGCAGAAGAAGUACCGGCUAACUACGUGCCAGCAGCCGCGGUAAUACGUAGGGUACGAGCGUUGUCCGGAAUUAUUGGGCGUAAAGAGCUCGUAGGUGGUUGGUCACGUCUGCUGUGGAAACGCAACGCUUAACGUUGCGCGUGCAGUGGGUACGGGCUGACUAGAGUGCAGUAGGGGAGUCUGGAAUUCCUGGUGUAGCGGUGAAAUGCGCAGAUAUCAGGAGGAACACCGGUGGCGAAGGCGGGACUCUGGGCUGUAACUGACACUGAGGAGCGAAAGCAUGGGGAGCGAACAGGAUUAGAUACCCUGGUAGUCCAUGCCGUAAACGUUGGGCACUAGGUGUGGGGGGCAUUCCACGUUCUCCGCGCCGUAGCUAACGCAUUAAGUGCCCCGCCUGGGGAGUACGGUCGCAAGGCUAAAACUCAAAGGAAUUGACGGGGGCCCGCACAAGCGGCGGAGCAUGCGGAUUAAUUCGAUGCAACGCGAAGAACCUUACCAAGGCUUGACAUACACCGGACCGUCCUGGAAACAGGUCCUCUUC